rnacentral:lncRNA from 1 species
ACCUCAUUAUUUAAAACUUUAACUUGUUUACCUGUACUCCAUGUUUAAUAAAUUUAUAUCUUUUUAAGACCCAAAGUGUUAUCUUCAACCCUAGACGCGUUGCCCCUUUUUCGUAUGUGGAAAACUCUCACCGGCGCAACAAGCUUUGCACCAUAGGGUCCAAAUUCAUUUGCCUAUUCGUUCACCCGUUUCUUGUCCUUACAUUCCUUGCACCAACAACUUUGUCAUUGUUCAAUCCAGUCACUUAACGAACUGGAACAAAUGCAAAAGAAUUAAAUCAAGAGCAAGGACACGGGGCCAUUGAUCCAUUGAAUGAAGCAACGACAACACGUAAUGUGAGGCGUGGUUCGUGUGUGAAGAAAACAUGGAAGGUGAUGGCAGGAGAGGAAAACGAGGGAUAUGAUUAGGCAAUGAGUGGAACGAAGGGAUUGGUGUGGAUUUUGGGAUCUCUUUAUCCUGUAUUUCUUCUCUGGCUAAACUUAUUAUCUUUUGGAUGAUUUCUUGUUGACAUUUCAUAUUUAACUAUAUUAUUCUAUUUGUUAUACGUUUGCAAAACCAUAUCAGUCGAAGACACCUUUAUUUGAUUUUCCGAAAUUUCUAGUAAAAAUUUGAGGAUACAAACC